CAGCAGCCGCGGGAAUACGUGGGUGGCAAGCGUUGUCCGGAAUUAUUGGGCGUAAAGCGCGCGCAGGUGGUUUAAUAAGUCUGAUGUGAAAGCCCACGGCUCAACCGUGGAGGGUCAUUGGAAACUGUUAAACUUGAGUGCAAGAGAGAAAAGUGGAAUUCCUAGUGUAGCGGUGAAAUGCGUAGAGAUUAGGAGGAACACCAGUGGCGAAGGCGACUCUCUGGUCUGUAACUGACGCUGAGGAGCGAAAGCGUGGGGAGCGAACAGGAUUAGAUACCCGGGUAGUCCCUGUCUCUUAUAA
rnacentral:rRNA from 1 species